GCUGACUCUCUUUUUGGACUCAGCCUGCCUGUACCCAGGUGAAAUAAACAGCCUUGUUGCUCACACAAAGCCUGUUUGGUGGUCUCUUCACACGGACACAAGUGAAAUUUGGUGCUGUGACUUGUAUUGGAGGACCUCCCUUAGGAGAUCACUCCCCUGUCCUCCUGCUUUUUACUCCAUGAGAAAGAUCCACCUACGACCUCUGGUGCUCAGACCGACCAGCCUAAAGAACAUCUCACCAAUUUUAAACCCGAGACAAAGGAGAUGCAUUUUAUCUAUGGACCCAAAACUCCGGUGCCGGUCACUGACUCAGGAAGGCAGCCUUCCCUUUGUGUUUAAUCAUUGCGGGGACACCUCUCUGAUUAUUCACCCACAUUCCAUUGGUGUCUGAUCUCCGUGAGGACGCCUGCCUUGAUCAUUCACCUACAUUCCCUUGGUGGCAAGUCAGUUGCGGGGAUGCCUGCUUUGGCUGCUCACCCACAUUGCAGCCCAGGGCUGCUCCCCACCCCCUUCUCCGUGUCUCUACCCUUCUUUUUAAACUUGCCUCUUUCACUAUAGGCAAACUUCCACCCUCUAUUCCUCCCUCUUCUCCCUUAGCCUCUGUUCUCAAGAAGUUAAAACCUCUUCACCUCUCGCCUGACCUAAAAUCUAAGUGUCUUAUUUUCUUCUGCAACACCACUUGACCCCAAUACAAACUCAACAGUGGUUUCAAAUAGCCAGAAAACAGCACUUUUGAUUUUUCCAUCCUACAAAAUCUAGAUAAUUCUUGUCAUAAAAUAGGCAAAUGGCCUGAGGUGCCUGACGUCUAGGCAUUCUUUUACACAUCGGUCCCUCCCUAGUCUCUGUUCCCAAUGCAACUCAUCUCAAAUCUUCCUUCUUUCCCUCCUGCCUUUCCCCUCAGUCCUGACCCCAAGCAUCGCUGAGUCUUGCUAAUCUUUACUACAGACCCAUCUGACCUCUCUCCUCCUCCCCAGCUGCUCCUCGCCAGGCUGAGCUAGGUCCCAAUUCUUCCUCAGCCUCCGCUCCCCUACCCUAUAAUCCUUUUAUCACCUCCCCUCCUCACACCCAGUCCUGCUUUUAGUUUUGUUCCGUGACUAGCCCUCCCCUACCUGCCCAGCAAUUUCCUCUUAAAAAGGUGGCUGGAGCUAAAGGCAUAGUCAAGGUGAAUGCUCCUUUUUCUUUAUCCGACCUCUCCCAAAUCAGUUAGCUUUUAGGCUGUUUUUCAUCAAAUAUGAAAAACCCAGCCCAGUUCAUGGCUCAUUUGGCAGCAACCCUGAGACACUUUACAGCCCUAGACCCUAAAAGGUCAAAAGGCCGUCUUAUUCUUGAUAUACAUUUUAUUACCCAAUCUGCUCCUGACAUUAAAUAAAACUCCAAAAAUUACAUUCCAGCCCUCAAACCCCACAACAGGACUUAAUUAACCUCGCCUUCAAGGUGUACAAUAAUAGAGUAGAGGCAGCCAAGUAGCAAUGUAUUUCUGAGUUGCAAUUCCUUGCCUCCACUGUGAGACAAACCCCAGCCACAUCUCCAGCACACAAGAACUCCAAAUGCCUGAACCGCAGCUGCCAGGGGCUCCUCCAGAACUUCAUCCCCUAGGAGCUUGCUACAAGUGCAGGAAAUCUGGCCACUGGGCCAAGGAAUGCCCAAAGUCUGGGAUUCCUCCUAAGCCGUGUCCCAUCUCUGCCGGACCCCACUGAAAAUCGGACUGUUCAACUCACCUGGUAGCCACUUCUAGAGCCCCUGGAACUCUGGCCCAAGGCUCUCUGACUGACUCCUUCCCAGAUCUUCUCGGCUUAGCGGCUGAAGACUGACGCUACCUGAUCGCCUCGGAAGCCCCUGGAUCAUAAAGGACGCCGAGCUUUGGGUAACUUUUACAGUGGAGGAGAGUGAGUGACCUCAGAAUGCCACCCCCACUUCCUGCCCAGAGGUACCCAGCAAAG
rnacentral:lncRNA from 10 species